GGCAGUGUAGCCAAGUGGUUACGGCGUCACGUUUAGGUUACUCAUACUACACCGUGAUGGGUUUCCCGCGCGAGUUCGAAUCUCGUCACUGUCA